CGGCGUGCCUAAUACAUGCAAGUCGAGCGAAUGGAUUGAGAGCUUGCUCUCAAGAAGUUAGCGGCGGACGGGUGAGUAACACGUGGGUAACCUGCCCAUAAGACUGGGAUAACUCCGGGAAACCGGGGCUAAUACCGGAUAACAUUUUGAACYGCAUGGUUCGAAAUUGAAAGGCGGCUUCGGCUGUCACUUAUGGAUGGACCCGCGUCGCAUUAGCUAGUUGGUGAGGUAACGGCUCACCAAGGCAACGAUGCGUAGCCGACCUGAGAGGGUGAUCGGCCACACUGGGACUGAGACACGGCCCAGACUCCUACGGGAGGCAGCAGUAGGGAAUCUUCCGCAAUGGACGAAAGUCUGACGGAGCAACGCCGCGUGAGUGAUGAAGGCUUUCGGGUCGUAAAACUCUGUUGUUAGGGAAGAACAAGUGCUAGUUGAAUAAGCUGGCACCUUGACGGUACCUAACCAGAAAGCCACGGCUAACUACGUGC
rnacentral:rRNA from 1 species